CGCAAUUUUUUGAAACUACAAACACAAAUACUGUGAUAACGUUUGCUAAGUACAAACGAAAUUAUAUUUAUGCGAGGGAACGGUUGCGUCAUGUUGACAUUACUUGUCGUACAGGUGCUUAUGUGGCAAAUGUGAGAAGAUGGCUACAGAACCAGAAAAUAUAUGCUGCAGGGAGAUAGAACAGGCUUGUUUUCACACGGAUGCUUUAAAAUGGAAUUGUCUCCCUCUUUCACUUAUAAUCCCUAUUAGCAGUGUGUACUGGAACCUUUCUAAAGCAGGGGCAUAGGAAAUAAAUGGACAAGAAAGACCCCAAUGAGCAGGACUGAGCUGGCUGGAGAAAGAAAGACAAAGAAUGAGAAGGAAAGAGAGAAUCCUAUUUUCUUCAACCUCCUGCUCAAACCACUGCAAUAUGGGUCUUAGACUGAUGAACACACACACACAUUUCAAAGCUGUGUGAUGAAGAUGGUGCAGGAGCACUGCUGGAGAUAUAAGUCUAAUUUAUUUAUGUGUCUGUUAUUGUCUUGGGAUUUUGCCUUUAAGACAGAAAGUGCAGAAGUCAGAUAGGGUAGGUAGGGGGUGUGGAUAAUGGAACAUUUCAAAAGAAAAGGCAGAAUGAGAGACAAAGGAAGAGGGAGAGAAACACAGCCAAGGACCAAAAAACAUCUGGUUAUGAAAAAAAAAAUAUAUAUAUAUAUGUAGCACACAUAAAACUAUUGCUUGUUCAGUGUUCACAAACUUUGCAAAACUAAGUGAAAUGGUGUGAAAAAUGGUGCAAGCCCCCUCACAACCACAAGAGAGCCAAUCAGAUCCAUAAGGUCAGUUACAGAAUGUCUUUUACUGACAGGUAGAGAGUUUCCAAAACCAACAGCUGCAUCUUUAGGGGAAAAGAGCCAUGACCAAAAGUUCACUUACAUACAGAUGAAAAAGCAAACAGUCAAAUAGUCAAUCAACUGGAUCUUAUAUGAACUAAUAUGAAUAAUUAUUAUUGUCUGUAAGAUAAUUGGGGGGUAUAUGGUUAUGUUUUUCAUUGUAGGAUUCUUCAAGUACAAGAUUUAACUCCCUCUACUUCUGCAUAAGUGGUUAUGAUCUUUGAAAGCCAAAUUACCUAAGUUAUGGCACCCACAUUAACAUUAUAGCUCUACACUCUUCUCUACAAUUGUCUCAUUUGUGUCCAUUUUUUAUUUCUGCUAAGGUAUAUCUGAGGUAAAACAGAUAGAUACUUAAAUAAAACAUACCUGAAAAAGCAAUUUAGUCUCUUAAGCUAUUAAAAGGCAGCUUCAGAGAAAUAAAAACGCUCCUCUGCGCAGUGCCAAGCAGCAUAUAAAGAACAAUAGCCACUUCUCUGGAGUGAGUUCACAUCAGAACAGCUUCUGCUUUGCAAAAUCAAGGCCUAGAGGGCAGGCCGGCUAAAACAUAACCCUGGGUUUUAUGAGUACACACUCAAUAGCGGGACCUCAUAAACGCUCCCGUUUCCUCACAAAGAGCGUGGAGGAGAGAAAAGAGAGAGAAGGCAAUAAAGAGGAGCAAAUAGACAGGCUGCCACCCAUCAGGUGGAAAAGAGAAAGGAGAUUCUACAGAAAGGCUCUUUUUUAAUAACAUAGCUGCAAACUAGUCGCUUUUCGGCGAAAUUCGGCAUCUUGAAUCAAAAUAUGUCAUUUAUGUGAAUUGUGUAGAUCCGAAGAGUUUUUUUUUUUUUUUCCGGGGGUGCACGUGAACCAAUCAUCUCUUUUGCUUUACAACAUGAAAUAAACAUGAAUGAAUGUAGGAUGAAUGAUUACUGAAGGUAUGUUGAAAAAAAACAGUACAACUUACUGAAUUCCGCAUCAUUUCAUAUGUAAUGUUAAUCGAUCAAUCGUUGUUUC